ACGAUAUCUUGAAGAAAAUAGACUAUCUUUCAAACCAGUUGGGAUGGAGUGAAAAUGAUCUUAAAGACGCUUUGAUAAGAUAUCCAAAAUUAAGACAAUGUUCCGCUUUAAAGAUCAUUGAAAUAAAAGAUUGUUCAGUUUGGUUUCGAGUCAAGGACUGGAGUUUUGAUAAAAACUGCUUUACCCUGAGCCAAGUGAAGACGCCAAGUUAAGGGCCGCCGUUCGAUGACACUAAUAUAAAAAUGGGAAAUUGACAUUUACCAUCGUUAUUUUCCGAACAAUAAAUUCUGCGACAAAUAAUACAAAUGUGUAAGUAUACUAUAGUGGGGCUGCUCAUGAACAAAAUUGAAACCUAAUCGUGUUCGUUAAUUUGUUUGAAUCGGUUCACAUUCCGUUCACGUUUAAAUUUGGUCCAAUAAAUGGAUCUUUCAUUUAAUCAAACUGUUCACUUAACUCAACUGAUCAAUAUAUAAAUUAAAAUUAAAUAUAUUUUUGUGGGCGAGUAGUUAAA